GCUCCCGGUCUGCGUUCAGCGCAGCCACCAGCUAGAGUAAAUUCUGGGAAAGGGAAGGUCGCAGCUGCCCCGCAGCCCCGGGAAGGCUUUCUGGGAGACUUCCAUGCUGGACUGGCAGUUCCUCGCUAGGCCGACCUGCCGGUGACCGAGGGACCCCGUACCUUCGUCAGGACUUCCGUGGCGUUCAGUGUCUGUGUUUCUCACCUCACCAGUUAAUUCUAUGUUAAGCCUUUAAGCUGCUGAUCUUUUGGUCUGCUCUUAGCUUAAGCCGGGAUUCUACGUGUUAUCAAGUGUUAUGACCUGCUUUAUCCUUGAGAGAUUGCCAACCAUUGGCUGAUGGAUUGUCCUCUUCCUGAGGAGGCCUGUGUGGCACUGGACCAGCUUUUGGACUGGAGAUCUCUCUGACUGCUUCCCAUAUGCCUGGCCCACCUGAGUCCCUGACAUGAGACCUAGCAGAGACAGUGAACUUAGUGGAAAUGAGCUAGGCAUGGGACCCUACUGUCCCGCAUGCCCAUGAGUCCUGUGUGGCACCAGGCAAGCUCUAACACUCGGUGAUCUUUCUGCCUGCUCCCCAUCUGCCUGGCCCACCUGGGACACAGACAGUGAACCCAGCAGAGGGACCACCAGGCCAUCGUACACCAGAGUCAACCAGAUUGCUGGAAGCCAGCAGAAAAACACAAGCAACAAAACUCAGGGCUGUGUGGCACCACUGGAAACCUGCAGUCCUGCCACAGUAAGCCCUGAAGAUACUAUCACACCCAAAAUACAAAGAACAAGAUUUUAAAGGUGAGGUUAUGAAAAGGAUGCAAGCUUUAAAGGAGGAAAACAAAGCUCUCAAACUAGCAUAGUAAACUACAGUCAAACAGGAGAAGGAAACAAAUACAACUGUUCAAGAACUAAAAUGGAACGUGAAGCAAUAAAGAAAACACAAUCUGAGGCAAUCCUGGAGAUGGAAGACCUAGGGAGGAGAACAGGAACUAUGGACACAAGCUUCACCAACAGAAGAGACGAAAUAGAAUCUCAGGGGUCAAAGAAACAAUUGAAGAAAUUAGUGCAUCAGUCAAAGAAAAUGCUAAAACUAAAAAGCUCCUGACACAGAACAUCUGAGAAAUCUGGGACACUAUGAAAAGACCAAACCUAAAAAUAAUAGGAAUAGAAGAAGGAGAAGAAUACCAAAUCCAAGGCCCAGAAAAUAUUUUCAAAAAUAUCAUAGUAGAACAGGCUGAUGUUUCCUUAUUUUGUAAAUGCUGUAUCUAUUUAUCUUGUGAUGAAUAAAAGAUAAUUAGCAGGAUGGAAACUAAAGCAAUCAUUGUCAGCUCUUAAUAACUGAGAUUUUUUUCACAUUUUUUCUUUUCUUCUUGUAUUUUCUGAAUUAUAACCCUUUCAAAAUUUCAUUUAUUUUUAGAAACUAUGGUUUUUUAAAAAGUAUUUCAAAACAAUCUUGUAAAAAGUAUAGACCUUCAGAAUGACUGAGCUCAAAAUCUCAAGUGACAGCACAUGCUGGCAAGGGUGUAGAGAGAGGGGAACCCUCCUUCAUUGCUGGUGGGAGUGUAAACUUGUACAACCACUUUGGAAAUCAAUCUGGCCUUUUUUUCAGAAUAUUGGGAAUAGCUUUUCCUCAAGAUUCAGAUGUAUCAGAAGAUGCUUCAUCAUACAACAAGGACACUUGCUCAGCUGUGUUCACAGCAACUUUAUUCAUAAUAGCCAGAAUCUGGAGACAAUGUCCUUCCACUGAAAAUGGAAAUUUUUCAGAAAAGAAAUUGUGACACAUUUACACAAUGGAAUAAUAGUCAGCUAUUAAAAACAAAGAAAUGAAAUUUGCAGGCAAGUGGAUGGACCUAGAAACGAUCAUUGUGAUGGAAGUAACCCAGAACAAGAAAGACACACAUGAGAGAACUUUUUACCUGAAGUGGGGACGUUGUGUGAAGACAGCAUAGUGUUACGUCCUUGCGCGGCGUUGCUGCCCGGAGCCACCGGCUUCAGGAAGUGCUCGGGCCGCUAGAGGGCAGCGCUCCACUUCUGCACGGCCAAUCCGGGGAAGCCAGGCUGCCUUCCUGAGAGGCCGGACGCGGGUCUGUGACUCCCUGUCUCAUUUCAAAACAGUCCUUUAACAAGACAGGCUUUGAACAAUAACCUUUCCAAGAUGACUACAACUCCCGUAAGCUAAUAAUUUUCAUUUGGAAUUUUAAGGACAGUUUCUUUGGCUUUUCUUCUGUGUAUCCCAGGAAGGUGUAGAAGGUGCUUGUUUUAUACUCCACAUCUUGUUUAUAACUGAGUUCUGUUUUCUGAAAAAUAAAUUUUCUUCAUCCCUAAAAUGUAUUUCACUAGACUUGCUUGUAAACAAAAAAUUUAAAAAGCCAACUAAAACAAAACCCAAGAGAAUUCUCUGCACUUUCUGGUUUUAAUUUUCUAUUUUCCCUCUAUGACUCCUUAUUUAUUAAUUUCCUUUUGUUUUUGCUUAGUCUUUUAAAUCUAGAUAUAAAAACUGAUGAAAUAAUUGUAAUAAAUGCUAUAAAGUUUAUUAUUCAUUUUAGACUAUCCCUUUUGUACCAUAGACACCUUUUCCCUCCUCCUCUUUCUCUUUCACCUCAUGUCUUUCCCAUUUAUUAUCUUCCAUCUCUUUUUAACACUUUCCACAAAACAAAUACAUUUGUUAAAAGAACAAUAGCAAUCUAGAAAUCUGCAAGCUGUCAUGUGAUUUAUCUAGCCUGCCCGUUUCAUUAUCCAUAAAAGCAAAUACAGAAUUUAUUUACAUGAUAGAAAGAAGUCCAUGAUAAUUCUAAAGAUUUCUGGGCCCUUAUGUUUUCCAUGAAGGGAUUGUACGUGAUAGGUUUGCUGUUCAAGAGAAGGUCUUUAUUCACGGUUUUAAACUUGAGGGGAACCAUAAGGCAAUGACCUUACAGUGCCCUAAUUUGGCUGAGAACAGUCCCUCGUAGACCAGAAAAACCAGCUCCCAAUUCUACAGACACAAGAAAAUGAAUUCUGCUCAAACCAGUAAUUGUGGAAAUAGACCCGAGCUCCAGGCGAGAAUGUAUAUCAGAUAGCACCUUUAUUUCAGUUUUGUGACACACAGAACAAUCUUUUACCAUGCCUAGACUCUGGGCCUAUAAUAAGUGUAAGAUAAUAACUAGGUGUAACGACUGAGUAUAAAUAAAUAGGUACUAUUUUAAGAAUCUAAGAUUGAGCUGGGCGCACGUCUUUAAUCCCAACAUUCAGAGAGGAAGAGGCAGGCUGAUCACUGUGAAUUCCAGGCCAGCCUGGUGUACGAAGUGAAUCUAGGGCAGCCAAGGCUAAGCAGAGAAACUCUGUCUCAAAAGAAGAAAGAAAGAAUCUAAGAUUGUUGUUAUUCAGCGGCAGAAACCCAGUAGGAAAUAAGCAAAGUUCUUUAACAUCACGAAUAAGGAGUUUCUGGAAAACUGCAAGCUUCAUAUGAUUAGGUAUAAAACAAUACUCAGAAUUUGCAAUCGUUUGCCAAUGUGCAGCUCCUUUUCCCUACAGUCUUUGCUGUUGGGUUGACCUCAUGCGUAGCUCCACAGGUAAGACUCAGGGAGUUCACAGCAUUUAGAGAAUAACACUCCAAGAAGAUGUGAAAAUAGGGCAUCUCAUUUGAAUAAACCUUGGGAUCAUUGGGUAGGAGUGUUGGGGGUAUACGCCUUCAUUUUUCUGCUGAGCCUGAAGAUGUAAGUGCUGAGGUUUAUGGAUCUUGAAGAUUCAGUGGAGAUUCUGAGGUUUCCCAGAGGCCUCUGGGUUACAUUCGAAGCUUAACUGAUGCUCACAGGCAACUAAGGAAUCCCGAGAGUGGAGAAAUAGUCUUCCUUAGGAAAAGGAACAUACCAGAUGGUUACCAAAUACCAAAUGGUUACCCUGAAAACAAACAUGCAGAUAACACCAAAUUAACUGAGCUAGUUGCAUGUAUGUAUUUAACAACAAUUAAAGAAAAAGAGGCCAUGGAUUUGAAAGAGACUAAGGAUGGUUAGGUACACAGGAAGGUUUGAAAUGAGGAAAUAGAAAGAAAAAAUGUUGUAAUUAUGUUAGUAUCUCCCCAAAAUUAUUUCUUAAAAGAAAAUUAGGUGGUAUAAAGAGGCCAAAUGUAUAAAAAUGUUUCUAGGUCUCUUUCAGUCCUGGAUUAAUAUAAAUGUGUUCCCAGAGAGUUUAUUUAUUUAUUUAUUUUUUAAUUUUAAUUUUUAUAUUAAUUACAGCUUAUUCACUUUGUAUCCCACCUGUAGCCCCUCCCUCAUUCCCCUCCCAAACCUAUCCUCCCUCCCUCGUCUCCUCCCCAUGCCCCUCUCCAAGUCCACUGAUAGGGGAGGUCCUUCUCUACUUCCAUCUGACCCUAGCUUAGCAGGUCUCAUCAGGACUGGCUGCAUUGUCCUCCUCUGUGGCCUGGCAAGGCUGCACCCCCCUCAGGGGGAGGUGGUCAAAGUUGCUAGCCACUGAGUUCAUGUUAGAGACAGUUCCUGUUCCCCUAGGUAACCCACUUGGAUACUGAGCUGCCAUGGGCUACAGCUGAAUAAGGGUUCUAGGUUAUAUCCAUGAAUGGUCCUUGAGUAUCAGUCUCAGAAAAGACACCUGGGCCCAGAUUUCUUGGUUCUGUUGCUCUCCUUGUGGAGCUCCUGUCCCCUCCAUGUCUUCCUAUCUUCCCCUUCUUUCAUAAGAUUCCCUGCACUCUGCUCAAAGUUUGCUUAUGAGUCUCAGCAUCUGCUUUGAUACAAUACUGGGAAGAGUUUUUCAUGAAAUUUGCCCGCAAAUGGUGGGAACUGGUAAAGAUCAUCCUGAGUGAGGUAACCCAGAAGCAGGAAGACACACAUGGUAUAUACUCACUAAUAAGUGGAUACUAGACAUAUAAUAUAGGAUAAACCUACAAAAAUCUACACCUAAAGAAGGUAAGCAAGAAGGACGACCCUGGGUAAGAUCCUCACUCAGGAAGACAAAUGGGAUGGACAUUGGAGGAAGGAGAAAACAGGAAACAGGAUAGGAUCCUACCUCAGUCCAUUUAUUUUUGACAACAAAUCUUCCUUUCACUUUAAAAACAUGUGAUUCUUGCAUUGAAUUUAUUUAUUACAACUAAAGAAUAUCUAACCAUAUAUACCAGCCUUGAUCUCAUUGACUUUCCUAAUACCUUUUUUCAUCUUUCAAUUAAGAAUAUUUUCCUGGCAAGUGACUUGUUUUUUAAAAAAUAUUUUUCCUUUAGGUUUUACCUAGUCUUUUAAGUCUAGAUAUAGAAAUUUUAAUGAAAUAUCUACUAUUUAUUAGUAGUAUAAUAUGAUAGAACAAUCCAUGAAAAUCUGAAUUAUAGUUUUCAUGAUAUUCCUGUCAUCAGAGAUAUUUGAUGAACAUUUUAUUAUUGGUUUUAUAUAACUUUUCAUAUUUUGCAAUUAAUUUUUAAAAGUUGUAUACAGAGUUAUGAGUUUUGUCAUAUUUUCAUAUGUAUAUACCAGCAUAAUUUGUUUUUAUUUGUCCUCACCUCACUGCCUUCCCUUGUGCCUUGCUGGCUUAUCUUCUUCCCCCCAAAAGUCUCCACAUUUGCUGAAAUUACUUUGAAAUUAAUAUAUAUGUAUAUACACAGACAUAUAUUAGUUCUUUCUCUAUGUAUAUACGAAAUUCUGUCAAUAGCAUGCAUUCAUUUUGUUUAAAGUUUGUGUUUCAAUCUAGUGAAAACAUAAAUUAUCCAAUUUCAGUAACUGACACUGUAAUUGUCUAUAAUUCUGUCAAUAGAGAGAUUCCGGAAUUAGUAAUGUGUAAAAAUAAGAUUCGAGUGAAAGUGAAAACAAUUUUUCUGUAUUAUUAAAAUUUCUUUUGAGUGCUUGUUUAUAAUAAUAAUCUUAAUAGUAGAGGCACAUAGUGUAUAAUAAAAGGCCUUUUAAAA